ACCAGCACCCCGAGUGGUCGGGACGUUUAUUGGGCCUAAAGCAUCCGUAGCCGGUUCUACAAGUCUUCCGUUAAAUCCACCUGCUUAACAGAUGGGCUGCGGAAGAUACUAUAGAGCUAGGAGGCGGGAGAGGCAAGCGGUACUCGAUGGGUAGGGGUAAAAUCCGUUGAUCCAUUGAAGACCACCAGUGGCGAAGGCGGCUUGCCAGAACGCGCUCGACGGUGAGGGAUGAAAGCUGGGGGAGCAAACCGGA
rnacentral:rRNA from 1 species